rnacentral:rRNA from 1 species
UAGGGAAUAUUGCAAAAUGGGCGAAAGCCCGAUGCAGCAACGCCGCGUGGGCGAUGAAGGCCUUCGGGUCGUAAAGCCCUUUUUGAGGGGAUGAGGAAGGACAGUACCCUCAGAAUAAGCCUCGGCUAACUACGUGCCAGCAGCCGCGGUAAAACGCAGGAGGCGAGCGUUAUCCGGAUUUACUGGGCGUAAAGCGCGUGCAGGCGGAUUGGAGAGUUGGAUGUGAAAGCUCCCGGCUUAACUGGGAGAGGUCGUUCAAUACUUCCAGUCUUGAGUGCAGUAGAGGGAAGUGGAAUUCCCGGUGUAGUGGUGAAAUGCGUAGAUAUCCGGAGGAACACCAGUGGCGAAAGCGGCUUCCUGGACUGUAACUGACGCUCAGACGCGAAAGCUAGGGUAGCAAACG